AUAUAAAAUUUUAGAUCAAAUCUACUGAGCCGAUCAAGUAGUCACUGAGUUGAUCCAGAGAUCAAUUGAGUCGAUUUAGACAGAGACUGAGCCGAUUAAGUCAUAGUGAAGUAGUCAAGACAGAAAGCUAAUUUUUUAGCCAUCUAAUACUGAGUCGAUCCAAAAGAAUUUUGAGUCGAUCCAGUGAGGGACUAAGUCAACUCAGAGAAAAUUGAAUCGAUCUAG
rnacentral:lncRNA from 1 species